rnacentral:rRNA from 1 species
UACGGAGGGUGCGAGCGUUGUCCGGAAUCACUGGGCGUAAAGGGCGCGUAGGCGGCGCGGAUAGUCGGCGGUGAAAGCCCGGAGCUCAACUCCGGGUCGGCCGUCGAUACUUCCGGGCUUGUGCACUGUAGAGGCAGAUGGAAUUCCGGGUGUAGCGGUGGAAUGCGUAGAGAUCCGGAAGAACACCGGUGGCGAAGGCGGUCUGCUGGGCAGUUGCUGACGCUGAUGCGCGACAGCGUGGGGAGCAAACAGG